AAAUCUUCAAAUUCCCGGAUUCAGUUGCGGUUCUCAGACUAGUGAUGAUAAGAAUUUGUAAUUACAUUUUUUAAGUGGAUUACACCAGGCCAAGCAAUUCUGUUAGUUCUGUGGUUGGUAUGGUCA